AAUUGUGGUAAAGAUCCGUAACGAACCUUAACGUAGCCUCUUCCGUAGUUUGUUGAUUUUGUGUGGACUAAGUUGUACCUCAGUCCACACGAAAUGAACAGACAUAUUGAAGAGGCUACGUUAAUUUUUUCAUUUCGCAUAGCACUGAGGAUUGACAGCCCCAGCUUCUAACGGGAGUUGACAAUAAUACCUGGUAUGCUUUAAAUUGUGGAUUGAUUCUUGAUU